UCAGCACGUUCUGCCGGACGUGCGGGGAGUCAUAAAGGCGUGUGUUAGUGGAAGGCCUCUGGAAGGGGUCGCCGUAGAGGGUGAGAGCCCCGUACACGAAAACGCAUGUCCUCCCGAGCUUGUUUCCCAAGUAGCACCGAGCCCGUGAAAUUCGGUGUGAAUCUGGCGGGACCACCCGCUAAGCCUGAAUACUCCCUGGUGACCGAUAGCGGACAAGUACCGUGAGGGAAAGGUGAAAAGUACCCCGGGAGGGGAGUGAAAUAGUACCUGAAACCGUGUGCCUACAAGCCGUGAGAGCCUUAGGACUUCGGUCCGGGGUGAUUGCGUGCCUUUUGAAGAAUGAGCCUGCGAGUUAGCGGUACGUGGCGAGGUUAACCCGUGAGGGGCAGCCGUAGCGAAAGCGAGUCCGAACAGGGCGAUACAGUCGCGUGCUCUAGACCCGAAGCCGAGUGAUCUACCCAUGGCCAGGUUGAAGCGCGGGUAAGACCGCGUGGAGGACCGAACCCACUUAGGUUGAAAACUGAGGGGAUGAGCUGUGGGUAGGGGUGAAAGGCCAAUCAAACUCGGUGAUAGCUGGUUCUCCCCGAAAUGCAUUUAGGUGCAGCGUCACGUGUUUCUUGCCGGAGGUAGAGCACUGGAUGGCCGAUGGGCCCCACAAGGUUACUGACGUCAACCAAACUCCGAAUGCCGGUAAGUGAGAGCGUGGCAGUGAGACUGCGGGCGAUAAGGUUCGUAGUCGAGAGGGAAACAGCCCAGAUCAUCGGCUAAGGCCCCUAAGCGUGUGCUAAGUGGAAAAGGAUGUGGAGUCGCAGAGACAACCAGGAGGUUGGCUUAGAAGCAGCCACCCUUGAAAGAGUGCGUAAUAGCUCACUGGUCAAGUGGUUCUGCGCCGACAAUGUAGCGGGGCUCAAGCACACCGCCGAAGCCGUGGCAUUCACACGUUAGCCCGCCGGUCCUUGUGUGGGCCGGCCAGGUGUGUGGAUGGGUAGGGGAGCGUCGUGUGGCGGUCGAAGCGGCGGAGUGAUCCAGCCGUGGACGCCACGCGAGUGAGAAUGCAGGCAUGAGUAGCGAGAGGGGAGUGAGAACCUCCCCCGCCGGAAGACCAAGGGUUCCUGGGCCAGGCUAAUCCGCCCAGGGUGAGUCGGGACCUAAGGCGAGGCCGACAGGCGUAGUCGAUGGACAACGGGUUGAUAUUCCCGUACCCGCGAAGGAGCGCCCAUGCUGAACCCAGCGAUGCUAACCACCCGAACCACUGAUCCUCACUUGUGAGGAGAUGUGGGGAGGCUGGGACCCGGACUGGUAGUAGGCAAGCGAUGGGGUGACGCAGGAAGGUAGUCCUACCGGUGAGUGGUAGUACCGGUGCAAGGGUGUGGCCCGCGACGUAGGCAAAUCCGCGUCGCACGAGGGUGAGGCCUGACGCAUAGCCGAAUGAGGCGAAUUGGAUGAUCCUAUGCUGCCGAGAAAAGCCUCUAGCGAGUUCCGAGCGGCCCGUACCCCAAACCAACUCAGGUGGUCAGGUAGAGAAUACCGAGGCGAUCGAGCGAACUGUGGUUAAGGAACUCGGCAAAAUACCCCCGUAACUUCGGGAGAAGGGGGGCCCUUUACCGUGAACCGCCUUGCGCGGGGCAGCGGUGGGGGGUCGCAGAGACCAGUGAGAAGCGACUGUUUACUAAAAACACAGGUCCGUGCGAAGUCGUAAGACGAUGUAUACGGACUGACGCCUGCCCGGUGCUGGAACGUUAAGGGGACGGGUUAGCCGCAAGGCGAAGCUCAGAACUCAAGCGCCAGUAAACGGCGGUGGUAACUAUAACCAUCCUAAGGUAGCGAAAUUCCUUGUCGGGUAAGUUCCGACCUGCACGAAUGGCGUAACGACUUCUCAGCUGUCUCAACCACAGGCUCGGCGAAAUUGCACUACGAGUAAAGAUGCUCGUUACGCGCGGCAGGACGGAAAGACCCCGGGACCUUUACUAUAGCUUGAUAUUGGUGUUCGGUUCGGCUUGUGUAGGAUAGGUGGGAGACUGUGAAGCGGGCACGCCAGUGUUCGUGGAGUCGCCGUUGAAAUACCACUCUGGUCGAAUUGGAUGUCUAACCUCGGUCCGUGAUCCGGAUCAGGGACAGUGUCAGGUGGGUAGUUUAACUGGGGCGGUUGCCUCCCAAAAUGUAACGGAGGCGCCCAAAGGUUCCCUCAGCCUGGUUGGCAAUCAGGUGUCGAGUGCAAGUGCACAAGGGAGCUUGACUGUGAGACCGACGGGUCGAGCAGGAGCGAAAGCUGGGACUAGUGACCCGGCACCGGCAUGUGGAAGCGGUGUCGCUCAACGGAUAAAAGGUACCCCGGGGAUAACAGGCUGAUCUUCCCCAAGAGUCCAUAUCGACGGGAUGGUUUGGCACCUCGAUGUCGGCUCGUCGCAUCCUGGGGCUGGAGUAGGUCCCAAGGGUUGGGCUGUUCGCCCAUUAAAGCGGUACGCGAGCUGGGUUUAGAACGUCGUGAGACAGUUCGGUCCCUAUCCGCCGUGCGCGUAAGAGACUUGAGAAGAGCUGUCCCUAGUACGAGAGGACCGGGACGGACGAACCUCUGGUGUGCCAGUUGUACCGCCAGGUGCACUGCUGGUUAGCUACGUUCGGCAGGGAUAACCGCUGAAAGCAUCUAAGCGGGAAGCUCGCUUCAAGAUGAGGU
rnacentral:rRNA from 1 species